rnacentral:lncRNA from 1 species
AUGCCAGCCCGACACCCAGAGGCUCCUUUUCUGGCUGUUCUUUUUUUAAAGGCUUUUGGAGUCAGACCGCCAGAGAGGCAGAGAGAGAGAAAGAGACAGAGGCAGAGAAGGGAGAAGAGGAAAGAAAGAAAGAAAGAAAGAAAGAAAGAAAGAAAGAAAGAAAGAAAGAAAGAAAGAAAGAAAGAAAGAAAGAAAGAAAGAAAGAAAGAAGAAAGAAAGAAAGAAAGAAAGAAAGAAAGAAAGAAAGAAAGAAAGAAAGAAAGAAAGAAAGAAAGAAAGAAAGAAAGAAAGAAAGAAAGAAAGAAAGAAAGAAAGAAAGAAAGAAAGAAAGAAAGAAAGGAAGGAAGGAAGGAAGGAAGGAAGGAAGGAAGGAAGGAAGGAAGGAAGGAAGGAAAGAAGAAAGAAGGAAAGAAGGAAAGAAGAAAGAAAGAAGGAAGGAAGGAAGAAAAGAAAGAAAAAGAAAGAAGGAAAGAAGGAAAAAAGAAAGAAAGAAAGAAAGAAAAGGAAAGAGACCAUGACAUCAUCCUUGCUCUGGAGUGGGUGUCAGUCAAAGGUGGGGUAUGGAACAUAGUUAAAAGUUGGCAUAUUUCAAGCCUUUUGGAAUUGGAACAAGGGAAGCACAGAAAAGAUACUCUAGAAAAAUGUCUGAAAGAAAGCAUUAACUCCUGGCAGGAUAGGGGAAAGCUUCAUGGAGGAGAUAUUAUGUGGGCUGGACCUUGAGGGAAAGUAAGAAGAAAGAUGUGGGAGACAGUGUCUCCUAGACAAAUGUGAGGACCUGUGGGAACUCAUCUCUUGGGACAGGAGCUUAGAGCUAAGCAAAUGGGUAGUUCCAGUUUGGCUUGAAUGUAUGGUGCAUGUAAAGAUGUGAUGAAUUGUGGAGGGUUUAAAAAAUGGAGUUCAUAUUUUACCAUGUAGACAAUAGAGAACCAGUGAAGCUUCACUGCUAGAUGAGGAAUGUGGUCAACUUCAAGAAACUGAUUGUGGCAGUGAUUCAGUAGGUAUCCAGGAGAAAGGAAAAAUUUGGUAUCAGGGGGUAAGCUAUGAGGCUAUCCUAAUAGUACAGGUCACACAGAAUCAUGCCUGAAUGAGGGUAAUGCCCUCUGAAUUUAGAUAGGGGGGUAGAUGCAAGAGACUACUUUGAUGAACACAGAGGUCUGCUUGGGGAUGGAGGAAAUGCCAAGGCUUUACCUUUGGCAGGGAGUCGAAGGGAGAGGAGACAUAAAUAACAUCCUCUUUCCUCUAUGUUAUCAGAGAGGACAAAGUGGUCUAUGACUUGUAAGGAUAAUUUAGGGUUGUGACCUAAUCUAAGUUUGAUUUUUGGUCACCAGGGGAUAUCCCAAAUAAAAUACCCAAGUCAGUUUGGAAAUAUAUAGUG